GAAAUGCUAGUUAAAUAAUAUAAUAAUGCCUUGUCGAGGCUUAGUUGCCAAACCGGUGUAUUUCC
rnacentral:tRNA from 1 species